UACGGAAGGGGCAAGCGUUGUUCGGAAUCAUUGGGCGUAAAGGGCGCGUAGGUUGUUUUGUGUGUCUGCCGUGAAAGCGUACAGCUCAACUGUAUUAGGUCGGUGGAAACUGCAAAACUUGAGGCUGGGAGGGGCUGGUGGAAUUCCCUGUGUAGCGGUGAAAUGCGUAGAGAUGGGGGAGAACACUCGUGGCGAAGGCGGCCAGCUGGACCAGUCCUGACACUGAGGCGCGACAGCGUGGGGAGCAAACAGG
rnacentral:rRNA from 1 species